CAGCAGCCGCGGGAAUACAGAGGAUGCAAGCGUUAUCCUGAAUGAUUGGGCGUAAAGCGUCUGUAGGUGGCUUUUCAAGUCCGCCAUCAAAUCCUAGGGCUCAACCCUGGACAGGCGGUGGAAACUACCAAGCUGGAGUACGGUGGGGGCAGAGGGGAUUUCCGGUGGAGCGGUGAAAUGCGCUGAGAUCGGAAAGAACACCAACGGCGAAAGCACUCUGCUGGGCUGACACUGACACAGAGAGACGAAAGCUAGGGGAGAAAAUGGGAUUAGAUACCCCCGUAGUCCCUGUCUCUUAUAA
rnacentral:rRNA from 1 species